GACGAACGCUGGCGGCGUGCCUAAUACAUGCAAGUUGAGCGCUGAAGGUUGGUACUUGUACCCACUGGAUGAGCAGCGUACGGGUGAGUAGCGCGUGGGGCAUCUGCCUUUGAGCGGGGGACAACAUUUGGAAACGAAUGCUAAUACCGCAUAAAAACUUUAAACACAAGUUUUAAGUUUGAAAGAUGCAAUUGCAUCACUCAAAGAUGAUCCCGCGUUGUAUUAGCUAGUUGGGGAGGUAAAGGCUCACCAAGGCGAUGAUACAUAGCCGACCUGAGAGGAGGAGCGGACACAUUGAGACGGAGACACGGCCGAAACUACUGCGAGUGGCAGCAGGAGGGGACCUUUGGGGAUGGACGAAAGGCGGACCAAGGAACACCGGGGGAGUGAAGGAGGUAGUCGGGUCGUGAGACUGUGUUGGUAGUGAGGAACGUAGGGGAGAGUGAAAAGCGCAGCAAGUGACGGUAACUACCCAAAAAGGGACGGCUAACUACGUG
rnacentral:rRNA from 1 species